CGCUUAUUUAUAUUUCGCAACUAGAAACUAAUAUUGAUCACAAUUUAUUCCAGAAAGCAAAGCGUGUCGAUUGCUGUUGAUUCCAGUCACGAUAAAUUUUUCGCAAAAAAAUACUAUCCAUAAAUUAUGCUAAUCAAACUACUCAAGUCACAAACAGGGAGAUAUAAAAGCGCCCUUCAGUGCCUUCACUAAUCAGUAAUCAAAGAGAAAGAUGAAGCUCGCCUACUACAAACUUUUCGUCCUGUCAAUCUUCGCCUGCGUGCUGAUGGCAUCGGCAAACCCAUCUAGAAAGCCAACUCAGCAGCAAAGAAUGAUGAGUGGAAAUCACAAAAUUUAAGGGUUUGGCGGGUUACGUCAUCGUGUCAAUUUUGACACAAUGUAAAGUCGUAUGAUUUUUACCCUGAAUAAAACAAAUUGGCAGAUA